ACAUAUUCGAUGCUGCCAUGUUGUCUGCCAUCACCGAGAUGGUAAAAUGAAUGAAAAUAAGGGAAUAAGGCUGUGCACAAGGUAAAAGAAUGAUUGUCAAUGGAGUGCUUACUUUUGGAAUAUCCACGGCUAAACAGAGGACGAAUAUAAGUGAAUGAAUCGAGUCUCAACACCCAAGGCCACUGCAUGCACCAUCUCGUGUAUGAUCAUGAGCACGUUUUUGAAAAAGUGUCUGCUCUGGUGACCGGGUUACACAGACCUAAAGAAAACCUUGCAUGAACAACUAACUCACUGAUUUUAUGAUCAAAUGAUGCAAAAAAAGUGAAGACAUAAUUUGUGUAAGACUACGUAGAAAAGCAUAUAAACAACAGUGCUGAAGUCUGACCAUUCCAUUGUGGACAUUAUUGUGAUAUUCGGCUAUUUGUGUGAUAUUGUUUAUGUGUGAAAUUAAAUCGGAGAGCACAUACAGGAGCUAGACUGUCAUAAAAGACAUCAAGAAUGCCUUAAAGAUUGCCGUGAUUAAUUGUAAUAUGACCAGUGACCUUGCAUUCAAGUUUAUCAAUCUGCAGCAACAAAUCAUCACUGAUUGGUUGAGUACUAUUUGUCAAAUUUCACUAGGGUUUGUUCAUCAAUUUUGUGUUUAUUUUUUAAAUUUAUAAAAUGUGCAAAAUUUAAAGUUUGCGGCAACUGUUUGUCGCAAAUUUGCAGCAAACUCUCUGCAAAUUGACGUUGCAUUAAAAUUUUGUACAAAUUAACGUCAUUUUAUUAAUUAAUGGACCUUAUUUUCUGAUUUAAGUUGUUAAAUAUAAAAUUAUCUGGAAUUAAUUUAAUUUCUUCCUAGGUAUAUCUAUUUUUUCCUUAUUUUUAUUUUUUUUAUAUGGUUACUUAUAUUUCUGUGCAUGUUUGAAUAGUUUGAUUGUUUACAUUGUACAUAUAGUUGUGUGUCAUUACGUAUUUUGCCAUGCAUAUCCUGCAAAAUGUUUAAAAAUGCAAUGUUGAGGUAUGUUAUACAACUAAUAUUUUGGUUGUUGUGAAGGAAACGAGAGAAUUUCCUUUCAAGUGUAUAUAAAAAUGUGAAAUACAAUUUUUCUAUCCAUUAUUUUUUUUCAGUAAAGCUUUAAAUUGCAAUUAUUACCAACAUAUUUUCUACAUACUGUAGCUUUUUUAAAGAACUUUCUUAUCUGGAAAAUUAAUUGCAAUGCUUGUGGUUGCUUGAAGUAAUUACUGUUUUCUCUCAAGUGCACAUUUGUUGUAAAUCCAAGCUAGUCAAAUUAGAAACCUUGUACACAUAACAUUUUGUUAGCCAGUUUAUUUAUAUGUGUUAUGGUAUUUAUUGAUUU
rnacentral:sRNA from 1 species